UACAGAGGUCCCAAGCGUUGUUCGGAUUCACUGGGCGUAAAGGGUGCGUAGGUGGUGAGGUAAGUCGGAUGUGAAAGCUCGGAGCUCAACUCCGAAAUGGCAUUGGAAACUACCUUGCUCGAGGGUUGGAGGGGGGACUAGAAUACUUGGUGUAGCAGUGAAAUGCGUAGAUAUCAGGAGGAACACCGGUGGCGAAGGCGGGUCUCUGGGCCGAUACUGACGCUGAGGAGCGAAAGCGUGGGGAGCGAACAGG
rnacentral:rRNA from 1 species